GGGAAUCCGGUGCGAAUCCGGAACUGUCCCGCAACGGUGUACUCGUGCACGUUUGUGCGCGUGGCCAGUCCGAGGACC
rnacentral:ncRNA from 2 species